rnacentral:ncRNA from 1 species
CCCGCGCUUAAUCAUGCUGGUGGCCAUUGGUAAGCAGUGGCUGAAAAGGAAAGUUGGCGAAAAUCCAACACUGACGCGCAGCGGUAAUAGAUAACGAGUUCCUAGUGGGAAACCAACACACUGCUAAUCAUUAGUGGGAAGUGAGGUACAAGGUGAAGUGUUGGGUAUUCCACACUUCGAGAUCUUAAGUCCGAAGACCUGCCAGCAAACAAAAAAACUAU